rnacentral:rRNA from 1 species
GACGAACGCUGGCGGCGCGCUUAACACAUGCAAGUCGAGCGAAGCGGCGGACGGGUGAGUAACACGUGAGUAACCUGCCUUAGACAUUGGGAUAGCCUCGGGAAACCGGGAUUAAUACCAAAUGGUCUAAGAUGGACUCGCGUCCCAUUAGCUAGUUGGUGGGUAACGGCCCACCAAGGCGACGAUGGGUAGCCGGCCUUGGAGGGUGAACGGCCACAUUGGAACUGAGAAGCGGCCCAGAAUCUACGGGAGGCAGCAGUGUGGGCUAUUGCACAAUGGGCGAAAGCCUGAUGCAGCGACGCCGCGUGCGGGAUGACGGCCUUCGGGUUGUAAGCCGCUUUCAGCCAUGACGCGGUAGUGGCAGAAGAAGCACCGGCUAACUACGUGCCAGCAGCCGCGGUAAUAC